rnacentral:rRNA from 1 species
UACUCCUACGGGAGGCAGCAGUAGGGAAUCUUCCACAAUGGACGCAAGUCUGAUGGAGCAACGCCGCGUGAGUGAAGAAGGUUUUCGGAUCGUAAAGCUCUGUUGUUGGUGAAGAAGGAUAGAGGUAGUAACUGGCCUUUAUUUGACGGUAAUCGACCAGAAAGUCACGGCUAACUACGUGCCAGCAGCCGCGGUAAU